rnacentral:rRNA from 1 species
UACAGAGGUCUCAAGCGUUGUUCGGAUUCAUUGGGCGUAAAGGGUGCGUAGGCGGCGCGGUAAGUCGGGUGUGAAAUCUCGGGGCUUAACUCCGAAACUGCAUUCGAUACUGCCGUGCUUGAGGACUGGAGAGGAGACUGGAAUUUACGGUGUAGCGGUGAAAUGCGUAGAUAUCGUAAGGAAGACCAGUGGCGAAGGCGGGUCUCUGGACAGUUCCUGACGCUGAGGCACGAAAGCCAGGGGAGCAAACGGG